rnacentral:lncRNA from 1 species
UACUAUUUCUUUCAAUCUCUCUUGCAUAAGAAGAAACACACACAAUUGGCACAUAUUGAUUAAUGUCUAAAAUCGCAGCAUUCCUUGAAAUUAAUAUGUAUACAGGCAGUUAUUAUUAUUAUUAUUAUUAUUAUAUUUUAAAAAAUAAAUAUCAUCUUUAAUAAUAUUUUCUUAUUUUUCUUAUUUAAUCUAAAAAAUUAAAUAUUAUCUUUAAUAAUAUUUUUUAUUAAAUAUUUAAGUCUUUGGUUUUCUUUUUUAUUUCUUGAUUUUAUGAUAAUAUAUUUAUACAGGCAAUGUGCAACCGUGGUCACGGGUAUCGUAUUAACUUCAGUCUAGAACAUGAUGAACUACAUGAGAUGCCAGAUUGGAUGAGCUACAGGGGAGAAGGAUGCUCAUUGUCAUUCCAUAUACCUCCAGUCUUCCAUGGCUUAGUUCUUUGGUUAGAGAAGGGUACUCAUAUGUACACAUACACUAACAUUAUUAUUAUUAUAAGAAAUAAAAGCAACGGAAGAAUAUUGUUUAAAGAUAAACGAGCACAGAUAGGAAUACAUAUAUUUAUGCAGGGAUGGUUAAGAUACAUAAGUAGAAGUGAAAUGGCAAUGGAAGAUUACUGUGGAGACGAAUUGGAACUAUACAUUUCUUCAGAGCCAACAGACUAUGCACUGCGCAAGGGUAAAUCAUUGAAACCAAGCGUUAAAGAAUGUGGGGUCCAUGUGAUCGCAGGGAAGUCAGAUUCAUUAAAAAAGUCGGCAGUGGAAAGAGAUACAGUGAUGCUUUCACCACCGCUGUAUCAUCUGCUUCCUCAUCCUCAUCGUGGUUCAAUUACAACGUCUACACCUAAGCAAUGGUGUGACUUUUUACUUGCGGAGCUGCAAAACCAUAGCCUCGGUUUAUUGCUUCUUGGUAAGAACAAAUAUUUCCUUUAGUUAUUUUUAUUCUAUUCUAUUUAAUUUAUGAGAUUAAAUAUUAUCUUUAAUUAUUUCAUUAUUACUAUUUAAUAUAAAAAAUUAAAUAUCAUUUUUAAUAAUAAAAAAUUAAAUAUUUAAGGCUUUUUGGUAAGAAUACAUAUUUCCUUUAGUUAUUUCUAUUUUAUUCUAUUUGAUGGGAAUUUGUUCGUAAUAACAAAAUGCACAUGUUUAACUUUCUUUUCAAACUUGGAAGUUUUAUUGAAUUUGAUGGCUUUUGAAGGUAGAGAAGACUUGGAGUGAAGAGUACAAGAUCAUUUUAUAUAGAGAUGCUUGAAGUUACUUCAAAUUAGUACGGUACUUCUAUCUGAUGUAUUGAUAUGUAUUUGUUUGUUUGAAGAUUAUUUUCCAAGCUUGGAAGUUUUAUUGAAUACUCUUUGAAAUCUUUUCCAUCCGCUUUUAUAUUUUUAUAUUGGACAACCUAGUUGUUAAUUAUUAUCCAUGAUGUAAUUUAUAUUUUCAAGUUAUAAAUUUUGAUGAAUAUUGUUUCAUUUUUUUCCUCAUUUCAAAAGUUGAAAAUCCUUAUUUUAGUUAGAAAUAAAUUGGUUUUCUAGGAAGAGAUUAUUGAUUGGAAACAAGAGCAAAAGAAAAAAGCAAACACCCCAUUCGAUUUUCAUUCAGUAUAAGAGUGAGAAAGAGAGACGCCAAGGUGGUUCUCGAAUAUUUUGUUCUUUUUUGUCUCGCUCACUGGGGUAAAUACUUCAUCAUUUAAUGUUAUAAUUUAAAAUAAUUGAUGAAAAAGAAUUUUAUUCAAUCCCAAUCCCAAUCCCACAUUGUCUGUAGAAGUAUUUACUUUUGACUGUACACUUUGUUAUUUUCCAAUCCCUCCCCAGUUCUGCAACCAUUUCUCUACUUUCUAUGCUCUUGGCUUGCUAAAAACUAAAGAAAACACAUUGCUCUAGUUGCCUGCCUUCACUCUUCAGAUUGCUCAACAAAUCCCUUGAGACCUUCUCCAUAGUUAACACAUCACAUAAUGGCUACUCUAAAAAAUUUAGCCAUAAACAUUGAACACCUUAAGCAAUCAACGUGCCUUCCUUCACAAUAUGCAUCACCCAUAAAUCUUUCUUUUGGGAUGUCGCCGGGAGUUUAAAUUUCCGAGUGUAAAAAUUACUCAAUGAAAAAGCGAGCACUAACGCACCUUCUCCACAAACUACCAUAAAUAUAUAAAUAUAUUAUGAAAACAAGAUAAAAAGAAAUCUUUCGGUACAUCUAUAUAUAUAUAUUAUGGCUAUGAAAAUAGGUUUGUGGAAAUUUACAUCAUUUGAUCUUGACAGUGUCAGAUUAGACAAUUGCAUGGAAAUGGUCUUCUUAGUUUGCCGUGUGGAAAAUCAUGUCAUUUACGGGGCUGCUGGAGAGAGUGUCUAUUGAUAAUUUUAUCUUAUUUGCAUUGACCGGUAAUUUCACUCGAAAAUUUCUAGUAAUUUAAAAGCAAAUUUCUACUGACUAUUAUUGACUGGCUUCUUGCAAAGUAUUUGUAAGAAAGCUAAAGAAUUAAAGUUUUUUAAUUUUUAAAAUUGUAAGAAAAAAAUCAAUUAUUUUUAAAAUUGUUUUCAAAAAUAAAACACCAACUAUUUAUAUAAUAGCUAAAUCUAUUAAGAUAAAUCCAAAAUAACUAGUAAAAUCAGUGACUUGCAUUGACGGUGUAAUGAUCUGGAACCACUCGCAAUAAAUAAAGCCAAAAAAGGCAGACGAGUGUGUCUAUAUAUACAUAUAGGAACCGCUGAUUCGAUUUGAAUAUGUUAUUUGAUUAGUCUAAUUCAUGACUUGCAUUGACUCAAGAUUACCACUCAAGAUUUCGUGGUGCUUUCUCGGCCUGCAAAUGAAUAGAAAGCAUGUCGUUUUAACCUCAUUUCAAUAUCCUUGCUUUACUCUCCAGCUAGCCUGAUACAUAUGAGUCUCAAGACAUACGGCCAUUGAUAGAAAGGAGUGCUGAAGCAAAAUAUUUUUUUAUCUGUAGCGACCUCAAUAAUGUUAAAGCGUGGACCACCAUGAAAUUACCGCUCCAAAUUCCUUGUUCUUUCUAUAUUAUUAGAAAAAUUAUCAUUGACUAAUUUAAUUGGAAAUUAUUUGCGAGAAAGCUAAAAAGAAUUAAAGUUUUUUAAUUUAUAAAAUUAUAAUUUUAAAUUGUAAAAAAAUUCAAUUAUUUUAAAAAAUAAAACAUCAACUAUUUAUAUAAUAGCUAAAUAAAUCUAUUAAAAUAAAUUGAGAAUAACUAGUAAAAUCAAGCAAAUAAUCCAAAAAUAACAAGAAAAUAAAUAUAUUUCCUAGAUCUAAUUUGAUUAUAUUUAUUAUCUUGAUUGACUUACUUGUUAAGUCUUCGCUAAGCAUAAAUGAACUUUAAUCUAAGAAUCUGUUUUAUAUUUCUUCAUUUAUUAAUGAAAUAUUACUUCUACUGUAUAGUUUUUGGUUCCGAGUUGAUCCACCAGAUUAAUAGGUGAACAAUAUAUUUUGUCUCCACAGGUUAUAACAUCAUUUCAAUAUCUUUAAACAAAAUCUUUGUUAAACUGCACCAUUGGUAAUUGAUUAUGCCUUAAUUUCUGCAGCUGCCAGGACAGAGCCAGAGUCUUCUCGAUCUAGACCAGAAGGGGCCUAUGAUGUCUUCUUGAGUUUUAGAGGAGAAGACACUCGCAAGACAUUUACAGAUCAUCUCUACACUGCCUUAGUCCAAGCAGGAAUCCACACUUUUCGAGAUGAUGAUGAACUUCCGAGAGGAGAAGAAAUCUCCGAUCAUCUCCUCAGGGCAAUUCAAGAAUCAAAGAUAUCCAUAGUUGUCUUCUCAAAGGAUAUGCUUCUUCUAGAUGGUGUCUCAAUGAACUUGUAGAGAUUCUUAAGUGCGAAAAUAGGAAAACCGGUCAGAUUGUUCUUCCUAUAUUCUAUGACAUUGAUCCUUCAUAUGUCAGAAAACAGAAUGGCAGUUUUGCAGAAGCAUUUGUUAACCAUGAAGAGCGUUUUGAAGAGAAGUUGGUGAAGGAGUGGAGAAAAGCUCUUGAGGAGGCUGGAAAUCUAUCUGGAUGGAAUCUCAAUGAUAUGGCAAAUGGGUAUGCCUUUUCUCUCUAAAAUUCACUUGCAGACGUUUAUGGAGUAAUUCUACAUUACAUUUUUCAAUGUGAAGUAAUAAAAUAUUUCUUUUUAGCAUACUUAAUUGACUUGCUAUCGAUGACUUGCUUUUUUUCUGUGAGCAGGCAUGAAGCAAAAUUUAUCAAAGGGAUUAUCAAUGAUGUGUUGAAUAAAUUACGUCGCGAGUGCUUAUAUGUUCCUGAGCAUCUGGUAGGUAUGGAUCUUGCUCACGAUAUUUAUGACUUUCUAAGUACUGCAACAGAUGAUGUACGCAUUGUGGGCAUACAUGGGAUGCCAGGAAUAGGAAAGACGACUCUAGCAAAAGUUGUAUUUAAUCAACUCUGCUAUAGAUUCGAGGGAAGCUGCUUUCUUUCGAAUAUCAAUGAAAGUUCAAAACAAGUUAAUGGUCUUGUUCCUUUACAAAAGCAACUUCUUCAUGAUAUUUCAAAACAAGAUGUUGCUAACAUCAAUUGUGUCGAUAGAGGAAAGGUUAUGAUCAAAGAUCGACUUUGUCGCAAAAGAGUUCUUGUUGUUGCUGAUGAUGUGGCUCAUCUGGAACAGCAGAAUGCAUUGAUGGGAGAGCGAAGUUGGUUUGGUCCCGGAAGUAGAGUAAUCAUUACAACAAGAGAUUCAAAUCUUCUUCGUGAAGCAGAUCGAACAUAUCAGAUCGAAGAAUUGAAACCACAUGAGUCCCUUCAGCUUUUCAGCAGGCAUGCCUUUAAGGACUCCAAGCCAGCACAAGAUUAUAUUGAGCUUUCGAAGAAAGCCGCUGGUUACUGUGGAGGACUUCCUUCAGCUCUUGAGGUUACAGGAGCUCUUCUGUACAGGAAAAACAGAGGUAGAUGGGAAAGUGAAAUGGACAACUUGAGCAGAAUUCCAAACCAAGAUAUUCAAGGAAAGCUUCUAAUAAGUUAUCACGCACUUGAUGGUGAACUACAAAGGGCAUUCCUUGAUAUUGCAUGCUUCUUUAUUGGUAUAGAGAAAGAAUACGUCGCAAAAGUGCUAGGAGCCCGUUGCCGUCCCAAUCCAGAAGUUGUUUUGGAAACUCUCAGUGAAAGGUCUCUGAUUAAAAUAUUGGGAGAGACGGUAACCAUGCAUGAUCUAUUACGAGAGAUGGGAAGGGAGGUCGUUUGUAAAGCGUCCCCAAAAGAACCUGGAAAGAGGACCAGAAUUUGGAAUCAAAAGGAUGCAUGGAAUGUACUUCAACAGCAGAAGGUACGAGCUCAAUGCAUACAUGAAAGCGUAGUCAUGUGUAUUUUCUCAAUGCAAACAUGAAAGCAUAGUCAUGCGUAUUUUCUUGUCAAACUUAUUACAAAUAAUUGAAUGAAAGUUGUAUUGAUUUUUUUUUUAGGGUACGGAUGUUGUAGAGGGUCUUGCACUGGAUGUCAGAGCAUCAGAAGCUAAAUCACUUAGCGCAGGAUCAUUAGAAAAAAUGAAAUGCUUAAAUUUACUCCAAAUCAACGGAGCACAUCUCACCGGAUCCUUCAAACUGCUUUCUAAAGAGUUGAUGUGGAUUUGUUGGCAUGAAUGUCCUUUGAAAUAUUUUCCAUCUGAUUUUACCUUGGACAAUCUAGCUGUUCUUGAUAUGCAGUACAGUAACCUCAAAGAACUAUGGAAGGGAAAAAAGGUGCGAAACAUGCUGGAAUCCCCAAAAUUUCUCCAGCAUGUAAUUUAUAUUUACAUGUUAUGACUUUCUAUGAUUAAUUGUCAUUAUUUUACUCUCUCUUAUGACAGAUUCUCGACAAGCUAAAAAUCCUUAAUCUCAGUUAUUCUCAUCACCUUAUUAAAUCACCAAAGUUGCACAGUUCAAUUCUAGAGAAACUAAUUCUGAAAGGUUGCUCAAGUUUAGUUGAGGUGCAUCAAUCAAUUGGACAUUCGACGAGCCUCGUUUUCUUGAAUCUCGAGGGAUGUUGGAGUCUGAAGACUCUCCCUGAAAGCAUUGGUAAUGUAAAGUCUCUUGAAACUAUGAAUAUUUGUGGGUGUUCACAACUUGAGAAAUUGCCAGAAGGCAUGGGUGAUAUGAAAUUCUUAACUGAGCUGCUAGCCGAUGAGAUUAAAACUGAGCAAUUUCUCUCUUCAAUUGGGCAAUUAAAGUAUAUCAAAAGGUUAUCAUUGCGUGUUUCAAAUUUGAAAUGUUGGCUGCCAACAUCUUUCACUGAAUGGAGAUUAGUGAAAUAUCUUAAGCUUUACUGUGUUGAUUUUAGAGGUAUGUUCUCUCUAAAAGUAUUGGAUCUAAGAGGAAACAAAUUCUCUAGCCUGCCUUCUGGGAUCGGCUUCCUUCCCAAGCUAUCGUACUUGGUUGUUAAGACAUGUGAAUAUCUUGUAUCAAUCCUAGAUCUUCCCUCAAGUUUAUGCCUUUUGGAUGCAUCUUAUUGCAAAUCAUUGGAAAGAGUAAGAAUACCAAUCGAGGCAAAAAAAGAACUAUGUGUAAAUAUAUAUAUGAAAGUCUUUCGGUAGAAGAGAUUCAGGGCAUCGAAGGUUUAAAUAAUAGUUUCUGGUAUGUUAGUGUUACAUCACCAAAUAAAUUACAGAAGAGCAGUCAUUCACCAAAUAAAUCACAGAAGAGCGUUGUUGAGGUACUAUUUCUUUUAGUCUCUCUUGCACAAGAAGAAACACACACAAUUGGCACAUACAUUGAUUAAUGUCUAAAAUCGCAGCAUUCCUUGAAAUUAAUAUGUAUACAUACAAUUAUUAUUUUAAUUUAAAAAAUAAAUAUCAUCUUUAAUAAUAUUUUCUUAUUUUUCUUAUUUAAUCUAAAAAAUUAAAUAUUAUCUUUAAUAAUAUUUUUUAUAAAAUAUUUAAAGUCUUUGGUUUUCUUUUUUAUUUCUUGAUUUUAUGAUAAUAUAUUUAUACAGGCAAUGUGCAACCGUGGUCACGGGUAUCGUAUUAGCUUCAUUGUUGAUGAUCUACUUGAGAUGCCAGAUUGGAUGAGCUACAGGGCAGAAGGAUGCGCAUUGUCAUUCCAUAUACCUCCAGUCUUCCAUGGCUUAGUUCUUUUGUUUGAGAAGAGUACUCAUCUUUACACAGUCACUAACAUUAUUAUUAUUAUAAGAAAUAAAAGCAACGGAAGAAUAUUGUUUAAAGAUAAACGAGCACAGAUAGGAAUACAUAUAUUUAUGCAGGGAUGGUUAAGAUACAUAAGUAGAAGUGAAAUGGCAAUGGAAGAUUACUGUGGAGAUGACGAAUUGGAACUAUACAUAUAUUCACAGCAAUCAGAGUAUGCAACGGUCAUUCAUUCGAACCCGUACACGUUAAAGAAUGUGGGGUCCAUGUGAUCGCAGAGAAGUUAGAUUCAUUUGAAGAGUCGGCAGUGGGAAGAGAUACAGUGAUGCCUUCACCACCGCUGUAUCAUCUGCUUCCUCAUCCUCAUCGUGGUUCAAUUACAACGUCUACACCUAAGCAAUGGUGUGACUUUUUACUUGCGGAGCUGCAAAACCAUAACCUCAGUUUAUUGCUUCUUGGUAAGAACAAAUAUUUCCUUUAGUUAUUUUUAUUCUAUUCUAUUUAAUUUAUGAGAUUAAAUAUUAUCUUUAAUUAUUUCAUUAUUACUAUUUAAUAUAAAAAAUUAAAUAUCAUUUUUAAUAAUAAAAAAUUAAAUAUUUAAGGCUUUUUGGUAAGAAUACAUAUUUCCUUUAGUUAUUUCUAUUUUAUUCUAUUUAAUUUAAGAGAUUAAAUAUCAUCUUUAAU